GAAGAAUCCUAGGUGCCAAAAUAGGAGACAUUCAAGCCAUCCAAGGCUUUUGAGCCCCCGUGUCCACCCCUCAGGAAUUCCAAGGCUUAAAGGAUCAAUCUGUAAUCUCUAUGCUAACAAACCACUCUGAGAUGGCAACAGGAGACAGAAGAGGAAGGAAGAAUGUCCUUGGCUGGUGUGGACAGAAUCCUGCCAGGAAGCAUUUAACAGCGUGCCAGGGACAUCCCAAGUCCCAUUAACACCAUGACACCAAACCAGAGAGGCGCUGAGCACUCAGCGACACUGCUAACUUCUUGGCAACUUUUGAAAGCAAGAUCGUGUUUCUAUUGACUAAGGUGUGGGCGAGAUAUUUGAAAUGCAGAGGCGCUGGAAAGGCACCAGUGAGGGGAAGGAUUUUUCUCCCCACAACUGAGAUGAACAUCACUCUGAGGGGUACAUUGCAAACCUUUGCUCACAUAAGAUUUUCCUCCUGUUUGAUUCUUCACCUCCACAUCAACUUGAGAGUCCCAGAGUCAUAUGAUCCCCCAAGACAGAGAAGGCAAAAGCUAUCAGUAAGCAACAACAAAAUCCAUCUUCGUAGCUGCGAUGUGGGUCCACCACUCCGGCUGAGGGACAGUUCAGGGGGUACCAGCACCAAUGAUGGGAAGCCUAGGAGCUCGCUAACACACCUGUGGGACCUGUCAUCUAAGACCCGAUGUGCAACUCCACCAAGGCGUGUGUGUGAAGUCCUGAGCCACUCAAUGCUACUCAGCACAUGCCAAGGGCGAGUGUGUUCUCAUUAGCAAGUCUCCUAACCCUUAUUCCUCAUAGACUAAAAACUUGACAUGACUUGGAAUUCUGAUCCCUCCUAAAGCUGGAGGAAAAUGGGAUGCUUAUGAUAAAUUAAUCCUGGGGAGAAUCGACCCUUUGAUGCUUACUUUCCCACAGUGCUCAGUUCUUACCCGACUGUCCUCCUGGAUCUCCCAGUCGCUCGAAAAAGUCACCAGCUGCUGCCCUUGCGAACAGUUUGAAAACUGGAAGAGGCUGGAAAACAUUCUUCUGUUCUCUUGAGUGUCGGGAAAGAUGGC